rnacentral:lncRNA from 1 species
CACACACACACACACAUGUUACCUUGUAAACAGGACCAUAUCCACCCUCCCCAAGGUUAUUUCUAAUUGAAAAUCCCUCGGUGGCCGCCUCAAUAUCAGCCAAACUAUAUACUCUGAGAUUAGGAACAUUUCUGUUAAAGUCUCCAGCUUCUGUUUCAUUAUUUUCUCUCGUGUUUGAUGCUUUAGCAGAAUCCUCUGUUCCUAACAUCAACCAAGAGUAAAUAUUAGAUAAUUAAUUGUAUGUCAGCCUAAGUUUUAUAUAUAUAUGAAAUGCAUGCUUAAUUAUAAUUGGUAGCUGAAGCUUGUUACCUUCUAUUAACUUGAGCCUUUUCAUCUGGUUGUAUUUAUAUGCACAACAACUUAGAAGGAGAGUCAAAGCUGCCGCUGCAGUCGAAAUGAGUACCAAGGACAGAUGGCGGUUAUUACUAUGUUCAUCUUUGUCAGCUGAAGCAGAAGUAAUCCUGUCUUUUUGUGCUGGAAAUAUGUAUAGUUCAGCAAUUAAUAAUAACUAGCUAGAGAUGCCAUAACAAUCAUUAUUAAUCAGAGAGAACAAUUAUUGCAUAGAUAAAUACCUGCAGCUUGAGAAAGUACCCAAUUAUGAUCGUCAUAAUCAACUCGCCAAACAUAGUAACCAAGAAAUCUCUUCUCUUUGGCAUAGGCGAUCUUAGCUCUAACAGCCUCCACAUCAUCAAAACCAAACCAAAUCGUCCCAGUGGAGAAGUAAUUCACCACAUAAGUUGAAUUGUACAUAACUUGAACAUUAGGACCAUAGGUCUUGAUGUGAUUCUUGAUAUCCCUAUAGGUCACAAGGCCACCAUUACUCAUAGCUGGUCCUGCUGCUGCUACUCCAAUACCAUUGUCUUCAGGUUUCACAAGCGUCCAUGCAUAGCCGUAGAAAGGCAAACACAAAACCAACUUAUCAGCCAAUAACCCUCUCUAAAUCCAUGCCCUUAAAACCUGAUCAGUACUGUCAAAGAAGCUCAUAAUGCAUGGAAGGAUGCAGCACACGUGUGAGAUGAAUAUAGUCAGCUGAAUCAAUUGAAGAGUGGAGUGCCAGCUCAGCUGAAGUUAGUUAGACACGUUAAGAUCAAGUUUUAGUUAGUUCUUCAUUUUCUGUUAAGCUGAAAAACAGCUGAGUAUAAAUACAAGCAUAUUGUAAUCAUUUUGAGGUUAAGUAAAAAUAAAAUAAAGCAUUUGAUUCCAGAAUUUCUUUUACAAAUUUUCUUAGCACUUUAGAUACAUUUUCUCAGUAACCAAACAGUUUGUUCAUUCAAGCUUUUAAGCUUUCAAACAUGGUAUCAGAGCCUUACAGAGCUAGUUCCAGUAAUCAACAGUCAAGCCUUCGUAAUCAAACAACAAACAACACAAAUCAACCUACUCAAAUCAACUUCUCUUUUUCUAAUCCUAUCAAGCUAGAUCGAUCCAAUUACUUACUCUGGCGUUCUCAAGUUUUGGCCUCAAUAAGAGGCAAUCGUUUGGAAGAUUUCGUCACAAGAGCCAGAUCAGUACCUGAUAAGUGUCUUCUGUUAACUGAAGCAGAUGGAUCUACACAACAAGUUGAAAAUCCAGAAUAUCAGAUCUGGAGAUCACAGGAUCAGACACUUCUUGGCUGGCUACUGUUGUCAUUAAGUGAAGGUAUCUUAAGUCUUGUAAUCAAUUGUGAGAGUUCAUUUGAUAUAUGGAAAACUUUGGAAAAGAAAUUUGGAGUUCAAUCUGAAGCUCGAGUUCUUCAGCUCAGAUACGAACUAAACACUCUUAAAAAGGAAGCCCUUAGUGUUGAAGAUUAUUGUAUUAAAAUGAAAGCAAUAGCAGAUAAGCUGGCCAGUGCUGGUAGUUCAAUUACAGAGAAGGAUCUUAUGCUAACUAUUCUUAAUGGAUUAGGAUCAUGAUAUCGUGAUAUUGCUACAUUUAUAACUGGUUCACGAAUGGAGUUUGAUGAUGCUUAUGCACUGUUACUCACUCAUGAGACUAGAUUAGAGCAGGAGCAAGGUGACAAAAGUAUGUUUAAUGCAAACUAUGCAUACACAAAUGCAUAUUAUCCUAGAGCUUAUUUUGCACAGCCUAGAAGAAGUUUUAAACGAGGAGGUUAUUCUGGUGGUAGAACUCCUUUCUUUGGCAGAGGAAAUAUGAAUUACUCUCCAAGAAUGUUUAAUGGAGGCUUUAGAAAUGGAUAUGGCAGAGGAUUUUUUCCUGGAAAUAACUCAACUGAUUUCAAUCAUUUUCCAGCUCCUAGGAAUCCAGUACCUAGGAACUCAUCUUUUCCAGCUAGAAAUGGAUCUGCUAACAUGAGUGGAUCACAAGGAAGUUUUAAUAAUGCUGGAGAGAUGACAUGUCAGAUUUGUUUUAAGAAUGGCCAUACUGCUGAUGUCUGUUGGCACAGAUUUGUUGAAGAUUUUGUACCUGUUCCAAGAGGUUUUGGCAAGGGAAGAACACCAAGAGCAGCAUAUUUAUCAAACUUUGAUGGCUCCAUUUCUAAUCCAGAUUUUGGCUAUGAAAAUCUUAAUACUAUGUUUCCAGGUUAUGACUCUAUAUCUGGCAAUAGCUACUAUUCUGGAAUGGAUGGAUACACUUCUGGAGCAGCUAGAACAGCUUUCAUGGCAAAUUUUGAAGGGACUGCUGAUGAUGGAUGGUAUCUGGAUAGUGGGGCAACUCACCAUUUAACCAACAAUAUGGAGAAUUUGCAGAUCAAUGAAGAGUUUAAAGGUACUGAUUAGCUUAUCAUUGGAAAUGGUCAAGGUUUGUCUAUUACUCAUGUUGGACAUGCAUUUCUGGUAUUAAGAGCUUCUAAACCCUUAUCUACACAUGCUAGAAUAAAACUUAAAGAUAUGUUACUUGUCCCUUCAAUUACCAAAAAUCUAUUAAGUAUUUCUAAACUCACAUCUGAUAACCCUUUAUCUGUUGAAUUCUGUGGAAAUGCUUGUUUUGUGAAGGACAUGAAGGGUCAAGUUCUUCUGCAGGGUAUUGCUGAAAAAGGCCUUUACAAGCUGCUGCUGAACUCAAAUUCUCUUUCUUCAUCACCUACAUCUUAUCUUUGUAAAUCCCAGCCAAAUAAACUAGUCUCUAUGUUGUCUGCUUUCAAACACUCUGAUAAUGGUACUCGAGCUUGUUUUCAGUUUGUUUUAAAUAAGUGUAAUGCCAAACCUAAUGUAAUAACUUUGUUACAUAGAAAGUUUGGUCAUCCAAGCUCAAUGACAUUGAUGCAUUUGCUCAAAUCAUGUAAACAGUUUAAAGUCUCUCCAAAAGACAUGUUAUCUUCUGCAAGUACUUUAUGUGAAGCAUGUCAGCUAGGCAAAGUCCAUAAGCAACAUUUCUCAAUAACCGAAACAAAAACAAAAGAGGUAUUAGAAUUGAUCCAUACUGAUCUUUGGGGGCCUUCACCCACUGUGUCUAGAGAUGGAUACAAAUAUUACAUUAGUUUUGUGGAUGAUUACACUAGGUACUCUUGGAUCUAUCCUCUUAAGCUCAAAUCACAAGCAUUUGAAGUUUUCAAAUUGUGCAAAACUCAAGUUGAAAAUCAGUUUGAUACCAAAAUUAAGAUGCUACAAUCUGACCUUAGGGGAGAGUUUAGAGCAUUUACUGAUUUUCUCAAUCAAAAUGGAAUAAUCUUUAGGCACUCAUGUCCUUACAUCCAUCACCAGAAUGGUCUUGUUGAGAGGAAGCACAGGCAUAUAGUUGAACUAGGAUUAACCCUCAUGGCUCAAGCAAAUCUUCCUCUUCAAUUCUGGUGGGAAGCUGUUCAUACAGCAGUGUAUCAUAUUAAUAGAUUGCCUACCCCUGUUCUGAAAUUCUUAUCUCCUUAUGAGAAACUUUUCAAACACAAACCAGAUUACACAUUUCUAAAGUGUUUUGGUUGUCUUUGUUAUCCAUACUUGAGAGACUUUAACAAACAUAAGUUUGAUUUUCACACUUCUAAAUGCAUUUUUAUUAGAUACAAUCCCUCUUAUAAAGGAUACAAAUGCUUAGCAAGUUUUGGUAAAGUCUAUGUUCUUAGACAUGUCAUUUUUUAUGAAACACAUUCCCUUAUCCAAUAAACAUUGCAUUCUCAACAGAAAAUCACAUAUCUUCUAAAACCUCAGUGUCUAAUUUCUCUCAGCAACAUAUCUAUCAUCUUUCUACAAUAGCCUUACUCAACAGCAGCUUUGAAGGUCUUCAGUCAGCAAGCUCAGCAAGAAAUGAACAAAUGCCCUUUGGUCCCACACAUACAGAUGUUUUGAAUCAACAAGAACAUCCAUCACACACAUCCUUAGAGUUAUCAUCCUCAACCUCACCAUCACCAAACACAUUACUAAUGCAAUCAUCCAUUCUACAACCAGAGGAAACUUCUUCACAGAAUAUAGACCAAAUUCAAACCAGAAAUCAUUCCCAACCAUCUUCUCAUCCAAUGAUUACCAGAUCGAAAUCUGGAAUCUUCAAACCAAAGGUCUAUACAGUCACCUUAGCCAACAAAGAACCCAGUACAGUUCAAGAAGCUCUUAGUAGUCAGAAUUGGCAUCAAGCCAUGGUAGAUGAGUAUGAAGCUUUGAUGAAGAAUAAGACUUGGUCACUGGUACCAUUUUCAAAUGCAUACAAAGUAGUUGACAACAAAUGGGUGUUUAGACUCAAGCAAAAUACUGAUGGAAGCAUAGCCAAACACAAGGCCAGAUUGGUUGCCAAAGGUUUUCAGCAAACUGAAGGUGUGGAUUACUUUGAGACAUUUAGCCCAGUUGUAAAAGCUUCAACAGUGAGGAUUGUUUUGAGUUUAGCUGUGAUGCAUAAAUGGAAAAUAAGGCAAGUGGAUGUGAAUAAUGCCUUUUUGAAUGGAGAAUUGACAGAGGAUGUCUAUAUGUAUCAGCCUGAAGGUUUUAUUGAUCAACAAAAACCUAAUCAUGUAUGCAAGCUGAAGAAGGCCUUGUAUGGCUUAAAGCAAGCUCCUAGAGCUUGGUAUGACAAGCUUAAGAAUUGUCUGAUUGCUAAUUGGAAAUUUCAGAAUUCAAAGGCUGAUACCUCUCUUUUCUUCAAAGAAGUGCAGGGCUCAAUGAUACUCAUCUUAAUCUAUGUAGAUGACAUUCUAAUGACAGGACCUGACAAUGGUGAACUGGAGAAAUUCAUCUCAAAAUUCAGUAAGACUUUUGCUUUAAAAGACUUGGGAAUUCUGUCAUAUUUUCUAGGAAUAGAAGUGUCCUAUGCUGAAGAUUGCAUCUAUCUAUCUCAGAAGAAAUAUAUCUUGGAUUUGUUAUCCAAAGCUAAUAUGCAAAAUUGUAAAGGCUGUGACACUCCCAUAGUUACUGGAUCAAAGCUUCAGAAAGAAGUCACAGGCUGUUUGGGUCAAUAUAUUGAGGAUGCAACAAGCUAUAGAAGCUUAGUUGGAGGUUUACAAUAUCUAGUAUUAACCAUACCAGAGAUAGCAUUUGCUGUGCAUAAGUUGAGCCAGUAUGUGACAGCUCCAACACUCCAGCAUGUUAUGGCUUGUAAAAGAGUUCUUAGAUACCUCAAGGAGACUGCAGAUUAUGGUUUGAAGUUUUCAGCAGGUGGGGAAAUGAAGAUCACAGGAUUUACAGAUGCAGAUUGGGCAUGUGAUGUUGAUGACAGAAAAUCAAUAGGAGCCUAUUGCAUUUAUUUUGGAAGCAAUCUAAUUUCCUGGUCAUCCAAGAAGCAGGCUGUGGUUACACGAUCCAGUGCAGAGAGUGAAUAUCGUGCUCUUGCUUCUGCAAGUGCAGAGAUAACAUGGAUCCAGUCGUUAUUCAAUGAACUUAGCAUUAAGUGUACUUCAUUACCAACUAUCUGGUGUGACAAUAUAAGUGCAACAGAGUUGGCCAAGAAUCCAGUUUAUCAUUCAAGGACUAAACACAUUGAACUGGAUAUGCACUUUAUUAGAGACAAGGUUUUGGCAAAGGAGUUAGAGAUUAACUAUAUUCCCAGCGAGGAGCAAAUUGCUGAUGCUUUGACAAAGCCUCUGACAUUUAUUCAUUUCAACUAUUUCAGAGCCAAACUCAAUGUGCAACCAUGCCCCUUGAGUUUGAGGGGGACUGUCAAGGAAGCUCAUAAUGCAUGGAAGGAUGCAGCACACGUGUGAGAUGAAUAUAGUCAGCUGAAUCAAUUGAAGAGUGGAGUGCCAGCUCAGCUGAAGUUAGUUAGACACGUUAAGAUCAAGUUUUAGUUAGUUCUUCAUUUUCUGUUAAGCUGAAAAACAGCUGAGUAUAAAUACAAGCAUAUUGUAAUCAUUUUGAAGUUAAGUAAAAAUAAAAUAAAGCAUUUGAUUCCAGAAGUUCUUUUACAAAUUUUCUUAGCACUUUAGAUACAUUUUCUCAGUAACCAAACAGUCUGUUCAUUCAAGCUUUUAAGCUUUCAAACAAGUACUUCUAGCAUAGCCGCCGCUACUUGAGCCAUACAGAGCCGCAUGUGCCUCGGUGAAGUUUGUUGACAUAGGCUCGUAGUAUUCAGCUGUAACAACAUGAACCUAAUUCAAGUUUCGUUGCAUCGAUUUCAAAAGGUACGAAUUGUCUGGUGGUAAAUAACGAAAUCUUGCGGUCAGGAUCAGCUGGGAUUGCUGGCGGCCAGAGUUUUUUGCCUCUAAUUGUGUAGCAGCUCGGCACUCGUCAAAGAAUAAACCCGUAUUGGACAUAUCGGUGCUCGUGUUCGGAGCUUUCCAAGCAAAGUCUAGGCCCUGAAAGCCAUAAAGCCUAGCUAUUCUUAUUGAAGAGUCGAUGAAAGAUUUCCUGUGAGAAGAAUUUCUCACCAUUGAAGAAUAUAUAGAAUAGUUUGUAUAUCUUCCUUGUCUAAUGGAGAGAAGUGUAGUGGUUGAUGGGUUCUUUUGUUUCACAGUGCCUGUAAAUUUGGGGAAUAUUUGAUUUCCAUCAAACGGUGAUGAUAAAGAUAGCUGGUAAGUGGUGGAAUUGAUAUCAGCGUAAGAGCAGAUAAGGUGAGUGAAGAGAUCAUAAUUUAUGCCCGAAAUGGUGGACACUUCGCUUGGAUCCAAGUAGCCGACCCUGAUCCACGGUUUUGCUUUCGCGGGAUGAAAUUCUGAAUAGAACAACAUGUGGAAGAUGAUGCUGAUAAUUAUGGAUGCCAUUUGAGAGGCUUAUGCUUCUUAAUUACCACUUCGAUGGGAAUGGAAAUGAAUGCACACUAAUAGAAAUUAAAUAAACACAAGUUUCACAGUUCAUUAAGCUCUCAUGUGUACUAUUAACGUAUAGGUUCAUUUCGUUGCCCAAAAAAAUCUUAUGUGCUCCUGAUAGGGACACAUACAUUGGAUGAUAAGAUGAUGAUAGGCGAUGCGACCAUUGCCCAAGAACUAAGAUUUUCUUCUAUCGCGUGGGUGACUUUUCAUGAAGAAAAAUGAUGUUUUGAUUGACAUAUGGUUAAACCGAUGCCAUAUUUCGGGCUACAAAUAUCAGUAUUGUUUUAUUAAAUAAUUAAAAAAAUUAAUUUUACGUGCAUGUUGAAGGUAAUAUUGCAGUCUUUUGAGCCUGUGUUGAAUUUCAUUCGUGUGCGUUCAUUUAUUAUCUAUCCUCUUUUUUCUCUGUGUGUCUGCUAGCUCUAGUCAUCUUAAAAGAAUAACAUGUUUAAUUAAUGCAUGUAAAUGCACCGCAAAAGUAGUUAAGAAAGACUUGAUCAAAGAUCAGACAUUUUCUCUCUACUCAAAAAGUAGUUAUUGGACUAAUUAAGAUUCUAAUCCCUUUAAGAAAUAUUGAAAAAGGGUUACUGUCACUACUUCAGUCCUUGUUGUUACAUAUAUAUAUAUAUAUAUAUAUAUAUAUAAAUUUAAAGAAGCAUCACAUAAAUCCUUCCUAAUUAUAUUUUGUUUCAUUCAAGUUGUUGACUUAAUUUGUCUGCUUGGAAAAAUUAGUAAAAAGGUAAAAAUAAAAAAAUGUAAAUUCUACUUAUUAGACUAAAUAUAUAGUAUAAAUUUGCAGCAACCAGCAAAAGUUUGGAAUAUGAAAAAUCCUAUUAAUUUUUAAAAAAUCUCCGAAAGUUUGAAAACUAAUAUUUUAAGGUCCUUUUACAAUAACCAUAAUUAACAUGAAUUUACUAAAUUAGGCAAACCCGAAUUACUACCAUAUAAUAAAAUUUUAUAACAGAAAUAAGAAAACAAAACAAAUAGCAUCAAAUCUUAUAUCUAAAAAAAAAUCUUGAAAUAAAUAGAAAAAAUAAGAAAAUAACUAAAACUUGCAAAAUGACCAUGAAAGAAAUGAAAUUUCCGACUGAACCAAAGGGCCAAUACACAUAGCAUUAUUGGACUAGAUCUAUCAUGGUGCAAACUUCAAAACAGUAUAUUAUAUUUUCUAAAUGGACACAUAUAGGUUAAGUUAUGAUAUUAAAAAAUAUCCUAUUCAUCUUACACAACCAUUCUAUGUCACUAUAUCUAUACACUAAUAAUAUAACCCAAACAUUUAUGGAGCAUAACUCACAGACCUCCACUAAUUACACUAAAGUUUACUCUCAUUUUAUAAGAGAGAGAAAUGUUCUCGUUCUCCAUUUAUGGGGGAUUAAACCAAAUGGUCUGUUUUUGAUUUUCUGGUAAGUUGUGUAACGUUGGAGCUUUUUGGCACUUCUUUGACGAAAAGUCGUUCUCUUCGACAACCCAAAAUUCGGGCCAAUGGGCAAUUAUGAAAGUCCAUUGGAUGCAUUGGACCAAACUAAAAGUCCAUAUAUAUAUGUAUAUAUAUAUAUAUAUUCAAUAAAUGAAAUGAAAAAAUGCAAUUGGCUUGCAGUUGCAAAGCUUCUUUGUUUAUUAUUAUAUAAUAUAAUAUAAUAUAAUUUUAUAUCAUUUUGAAUAUCAAAAUUUUAUUUCAAAAUUUAUUUAACACUAGUGUUUAAUAUAAGAUACAAUACUACCAAAAUUCUAUUCAAUAGUUUAUUUAAAAUAGUAUUGACUAUUAAAAAUAAGAAUUUACACUAAUAUUAAAUAUUAAAUUCAACAAUUAGUAACAUUAUUUAAAAUAAUUAUAGUAUUUAAAUGGUUAUUUAUCUUUAUUAAAUAAGAUUUAACAUAAUCCUCUGCGACAUUUUACUAAAUAAAUACAGUACUAUAUAUAAUCCAAUCUAAUCUUAAACAAUAAUCUAUUCUAUUCCUACCUUCCAAAUAUAAACACAAUAGAUAAUGAGAGCAUGAGCUAUGAGAUUAUAAAUCAUGGAUCAAGGGAGUAGAGAUACAGACCUUGAGAUCAUAGAUCGUAGACUAUUAGAGACUAAAGACCGUGGACAAAUCCGAGUACAUUAAAAAAAGGGGAAUUUUAGUCAAAUGUAGAUUGAUAUUAAGGAAUUCAGCAAGCAAGCUACAAGAAUAUCCAAAAGCGUGUAAUUUAUGUUUAAGGAAACAAGUGGAGAUAGAGAUGAAAUUGUAAAUUCAUCCCAAUCUUAAGUGGCUUAAUUCAAGAUGUAUGUUACCUACAAGCACAAUAAUAUGUACACGUUAUGUAUACAUGCAUCACAUACGUGCGUCGAUCAUCGAUGUAAAAGUAACAGUAAAUUUCUAGUAAAACAAACAUCAUUACUUUUAGUAUAAGAUGUAAAAAAUAUCAAUUAAUAACCAUUAGAAAAUAAAAAUUUAUGUAAUUGAUGCAGAUAAAUGGAAUCAAGUAGUAACAUUUCCUUCUCAUUGAAGAGAAAAGAUUAAAAAAAAGAAAAGGGGGGGGGGGGGGGGGGGGGAGGAGCGCAAACAUGACAAUUAUUUUUAUCCGCACGUGCCAUGAUAAUCGAUAAUCCGAUAUACCAACCGCGUCUAAUUGUCUGAAUUCUCAAGCUUAUCAAGCUUGCUCAAUCGCACCGCAGACACUGACCAUGGGAGAUUAAUCACCACUCGCAGUAUUAGGCGCGUGAAGGACACAUUCGCCAAUAAUUUAUAGCGGACAGUAGCAUUCCCGAUGCUGCGCGGAGAAAAAUAGUUGGGCUUGCGAAAGUUAAAUUGACUUGACUCGACAGAGUGAAGAAUGGUGGUGGUUGCUGUUAAGCAGUCGGUACUUCUGGCGACUGCUUGGCUUACACGCAGUUCCCGGGGGUGUCAUUUGACUGUGAAAGAGAAUUUUGGCUUUAUUGAUAUCUUGUUGGAUUUGGAAUUUUGGAUGGCUUCGUGUAGACCAUAAGACACGAUAUCGUUCAUAACACGUUAGCAUUCUUUCUCACGGGAGAAAAACUCGGGUGGGAGCAGAUGUACCAUCUCAACUGCCGUUUAUAAAUGGCUGUCAAAUAAUUAAUCAAAAUUUUAUUAUUUACGGUUAUAAUUGGAAUGAUAAAAAAUCAAUUCGAUGUUAUUCUUUGUGGCUCUGCUUAGAAUACUAAAAAAUCAAAUCGACUUAUUUAUUUUUAUAUUGAUCAUUACAAGUCUCUUGAAUUUUUUACCUACUUCAUUAACUUGUUAUUUUGAGUUGUACGUAACAUGGCUUUUUUUGUUUUUUACUUUACUUUGGUUUUCUUUAUAACCCAUAAAAAUUUUCUUGUUAAGACUGUGUGAACCAAUUGAAACUUCAGAUUCAUACUAGAACUAUGAUGAUUUGAUAAGAGCUUCAAAUUAAAUCCACAGAUUCUAUGAAAAGAAAAGAAAAGAAAAAGUCUUUUAUUGGUAAAAGAAGAAAGCUCUUCGGCACUGAUCCGAAGAAAAAUCAUUCUCCAUACAAUGAGCAAAACAAAGUCCAAUUCGCAUUACAUAGAAGUAAAACCGAAGCAUUGGACUAAAAGCAUACAUUAGUCUUAUUUUUCGUUACUGAUAACAUUUUUUUUCCCUUAUAUUAUCACCUUAAUUAAGAAAAAUAAUAAUUUGUUUAACUAAUUACAAAAAAGGAUGGCUAUAUACAAUAUUCUUGUGUUGGAUGGCCUUAAAAGUCAAUUCUUUUGAAACAGGAAAACUGGUAUCGUUUUUCAAAACACAAAAAUAUUAUGUUAAGAAAAUGAAUGGUCUUUAAGAGUUAUGACAAUGAUAUCAAUAAAAUUACAAAAUCUUAAGAGUUUAUAGAUGUAGUUAGUGAUAUUACAUUACAUUAAUUAAUACAAUGCAAAUUGUUUACUAAUAGAGCCUCAGGAGAGUGAUUCAUUAUUUAGUUGGCCAAUUAAACAACUGCAGCAGUCACUAGCAGCUUGCCAAGAGCUAGCAUAGAUCAAUUGUUCAUCUACCAACCAAUUUUGAAAUUGUUACAUCAUUACUUGAACAUAUUUCCAAUCCAAUCGUGGCUUUGUUUUGUUCAUCUUCAUAAGCUUUGUUUGAGAAACUUGCAGGCUUCUUUGGAGUCAUUAUAUCAGCUGUAUUUUCAUUUUCGAUCAACGAAGAAAUUUCUAGUAUAGAAGGUCUAUUGUUUGGGUUCUCCUGAACACAUAGCAAAGCUACUUGCAGACAUGUCAAUAAUUUCCAUGAGGAAUGCGUAUCAUCUAGUGAUGGAUCCAUUAACUCCGUGCCUUUCCCAUCCUUCCACAACUCGUAUGCCUGAAAACAUCAAAUAUGUUAUUGACUAACAUUCAAUUAAUUAGCACUGUAAUGUUUUGAUUCAGUGAAUAUUAAAAAGGGGGUUAUGAAGAAACUUACAUACUCUACAAGGCUUAGAUUUUCAUUUUGACCAUAUCGAAUGAAAAGUCUUCGCCCACUUAUAAUUUGCAGAAGCAAAACCCCAAAACUGUAGACAUCAGAUUUAGUGGAGUAGAUGCCUCUUCCGACAUAUUCAGGAGGGAUAUAGCCUCUGUAGUAUCAAGUAAUUAUAAAUGUCAGUGUUUGACAUAAAAGAUUAAGUUGAUUGGUAAAGGUUCAACAAUAAUAUUAAAGGCAUGUCAGACAAUAAUAGACAAAUAUACACUUACUGUGUUCCAACAAUUCGAUUUGUGUUUGCUUCAAGAUCAUCUUUCACAAAAAUUCUAGCCAAGCCAAAAUAUGAUAUUUUAGGUGUCAAAUCUUCAUCCAACAAAAUAUUACUAACUUUUAAGUCUCGAUGAAUAAUUGUUAAUCUAGAAUAUUCUUGGAGAUAGAGAAGCCCCUGAAUAAUUCCUUAAAUGAUAUAAAUACGUUUUUUCAAAUCCAAAAUAAGCCUUCGGAUGGGAUCUGCAUCAAAUGUAAACUUAGUUGGACGGUCAGCACCAUUAGCAUUUGGAGACAGAGAAAUGCAAAUUGAGGCACAAAAAUUAGAAAUUAAGCAGUUAAGCACACACCAAAAAGGAAAUAGUCUAAGCUUCGUUUUGGCAUAUACUCAUAGAUGAGCAUAUAUUCUUGCGUGUCGAUGCAAAAACCCAAAACUCUGAUCAAAUUUAUGUGUUGAAGCUUUGCAGUAAGCAUAACCUCAUUCUUGAACUCCUCAAAUCCUUGUGUGGAUGUCUUCGAGAGUUUCUUCACUACUAUUAUUUGUCCAUCAGGUAAUGCACCCUGCAAGCACCCCCCAAAAUAUAUGUUUUUUUAAAAAUCAGUGUGUUCACACACACACACACGUAGCUUGCACUAAUUAAUUAAUAAGCUAAGAGAUAACCAAGCUACCGAUACAUAACCUUGUAAACAGGACCAUAUCCACCCUCCCCGAGCUUAUUUUCGAUUGAAAAUCUAUCCGUGGCCACCUCAAUAUCAGCCAAGCUAUAUUCUCUCAGAUCAGGAUCAUUGCUGUUAAAAUCUCCAGCAUCUGCUUGACUAUUUUCGCUGUCCUUUGAUGCUUUGGCUGAGUCAAUUACGGUCCAAUUAAUAUCAACCAAGAGAAAGAAAGCUAAUUUAAGUGAAUUGCCCACUUCUUCAUCUGUGUUAAAUGGAAUAGAAGUAAAAAUAUUCCUAAUCCCGUGUAGAAGAAGUUACCUUUUAAUUUGAGGUUUUUCAUCCAGCAGUAGUAAUACAGUAAAAAACCAAUUAGAAGAAUACAAGCUGCCGUUAUAGGGAAAACAAUUGCCCAUAAUAGUCGCUUAUUUUGUCGAUUCUUAUUUUCCUCUUGAGCUGAAAAGUCAAAUCACUUUGUGUUAGUUAAACAUUUGAUGGUCAAAUAAAGAUCUUAAUUGAAGUCAUUAUGCAGAGAACUGAUCAAAUGGAUAGCAGGCAGUGACUGAGGCUUUGCAUUUGCUUACCUGCAGCUUGAGAAAGCAUCCAAUAAUGAUCAUAGGAAACUAGCCACACAAAGUAACCACGUAGUUUCUUCUCCUUGGCAUAUGAAACCUUCACUCUAACGGCUUCGACAUCAUCAAAACCAAACCAAAUCUUCCCAAUCGAGAAGUAAUUCAUCACAUAAGUUGAAUUGUACAUAACUUGAACGUUAGGACCAUAGUGCUUGAUGCGAUUCUUGAUUUCCUUAUAAGUCACAAGGCCGCUAGAAUACAAAGCUGGUCCUGUUGCUGCUGCACCAAUACCGUUGUCCUCAGGUUUCACAAGCGUCCAUGCAUAGCCAUAGAAAGGUAAACAUAAAACCAAUUUAUCAGCCGAUAACCCUUCCUCAAUCCAUUCCGUGAUUCCGUAUUCAGUAUUGGAGAUACUAUUUGGAUCAUACAGAGCCGCGUGAGCACCAGUAAAAUUUGACCACAUAGGUUUUGUGUAUUCAGUAGUCAAAACAUGAACCCAAUUCAAGUAUUGACUUAUCGAGUCGACUGGGUAAGCUCCUGCUCUUGAGAAUGGUGAAUAUGCGACCAUUGCCGUCAAAAUCAACUGUGAUUGGCUCGAGUUAUUUCUUGCUUCUAAAUCUACGGCUGCUCGCCACUCUUUAAAGAGAAUGCCAAUAUUGUACUUAUCCCAGCUUGUGUUUGCCUGAGGCCAAGAGAGAUCUAAGCCUUGAAAGCCAUAAAGUCUUCCUAUUUUUAUUGAGGAGUCAAUGAAGGAUUUCCUAGAAGAAGGAUUGCUCGCCAUGGAAGAAUAAGUUGAAUAGUUUGCAUCAUUUCCUCCGAUGGAAAGAAGUGUAGUGAUUGAUGGGUUCUUUAUUUUGACAGUGUCAGUGAAGUUAGAGAAUUGUUUUUCAUCAGAAGGUGAUAAAGAAAGCUCAUAGGAAGUUGAAUUCGUUGAAACAAAAACAAACGUUAUGCCUUUGAUCGUGCAUUUCCAAAUAAACACAUAUUUUAGGUAAUUCCGAAAUUUACCACGAUCUCCCAUGAAUCCGAACUUGCAGCUUGUUAUGGAGCUUCAACAGAGUUGCUGCUGCUUCGGUCUAGCUUCUGAAUUCCGCUUUCUUUUCCUUCAGCUCCAGAUUCGGCUUUUCUCAGUAAGUUACUGUACACACACGGGAGAGAAACGGGAGAGAGAGAGAUGCACUGCACUCAUGCCAGAGAUUUCUUGAACAGUCAACUUCCAAUGGGCUGAAGUUACUUAAAUACAGUGGUUGAGCGCAGGGAACCCUCAUGUGUUAGUACAAAAUUACCCAUCCCAUUAUGGGCUUAAAUAACACAAUUAAGGAUAUACUUGUCCAUAAUAUACUACUGUACAGGGUAUGUCAAAAUUAGACUCAUUAACACCAUAUUUGAUCACUUAAUAAAUGAGUCUGUCAAAAUUGCUCAACAAUAUUUGACUUUAGUCACGUAUUAAUUCGGUAAAAUAUAGAAAAUAAUUAGAAUGAUUUAUGUCAGUCCACAUAAUGUGAGAAAUAAAUCUAACAGAAUUGACAUUAGCAAAACCACAUAUAAGGUGAGUGAAAAGAGCAGAAUUUACAUCUGAAACGGGGAACCCGUUGCCUGAAUCCCAGUAACCAGCUCUGAUUAAAGUUUGUGUUCCUGCAGGAAGCGAUUCUGAAAAUAUAAAAAUGUGGAGGACAAGAAUGAUAAUUUUGGAUGCCAUUGUGGGAACCUAGCUGCUUUGAGGCAUACCUAGUAAGUGAUUACAUAUAUAUGUACACACACAAUGUAAUGGAGAAAAUAUCCGAUAGCGAUUGAGAUUAGUUAUUGGACUAUAAUACAAACCUGAGGCAACUUUCAGCUCAUGAGCUUAUCUCAUAGGUCUUUAUACGAUAUCAAAGUCAAGUUACGAACGAGUGAUUCUAUACUACCUUUUAAUUUAACAAGGAGAAAGAUAAGAGAUCAACCUACACGUGACAGGGUGAUAGAAAAAAUUUAUCACAUUAGCUAAGAUUAAUUACUAUGUUAAUGAUAUAAGCUCAAAACAACACUCAACUCAAUAACAAGUUGUAAUUUAAUAAAGUUAGGUCAACUCGAUAUUUUAUAGAGUAUGUCGUGAGUGAGGAGGAGUUUAAGCAACAAAUCGAGCUCAUGAGUGAGGACACGUUUGAUUUUCACAAGAUUUUGCGUUUUGUGCACGUUGGUCAUGGACUGAAUCAACUUAGAAAAUAUUUUCACAAGAUUUUGCCUUCCAAUUGCAUGGAUGGAGUUAUAGAGGAAUACAUCGAAAAGUUCGUCUUCUUGCCAUGAUGAUAAGUGAAAAGAUUGAGGUUCUUAAAUUAAGCUAUGACCUUUUACCUCCACUUAGCUUGACUUUUGAAGCUGAAGACUCGUUCUUUUGUAUUGACUUUGUUGGUAUUUAAAUGACCUCGGAGUCUUGGACGUGUUUCUGAAGCAAUGUCAUGGUCUAUGAGUAGAUUUUUUUUUUUGGGUAAGAAAGGGAAAGUCUGUCGUUGGGAAAACAUCCUGACAACGGGAUGGUGGGAGGGAAAAAAAAAAAAAAAUUAUACACUUAGGGUCUGUUUGGAAAAAUGAUUAUAGGGUAUUAUAAUACUAUUCAUAUUGACUUAAUAUCAAUACUAUUCACAUCGAGUUUAGCUUAAUGUGGUAGUUGCCGCAUUAACGUUUUGCUUUUGUUUUUUUUUUUUUACUUUUGCUUUUUAAUAAUAAUAAAUAAUUAUAACUUUUUAAUUUAAUAUAUUAUUAUAUAAUAUCAAUUAUUAUUUUUUAUUUUUACCUCAAAAUUAUUAAAAUAAAUUAAUAAUUUUAUAAUUUAUUAUUCAUAUUUUAAUUUUUAUUAUAUUAAAAAUAUAACUAAAUAAUGUAUUAUUUAAUUAUAUAAUAAUUAAUAUAUAAAAUUAAUUAAUAUUUAAUAAGUUAAUAUAACUAACAAUAAGUACUUAAAUAAUAUAUAAAAAUUGAUUAUUAUUUAGAAAUUUAAUAUAACUAACAAUAAAUAUUUAUAUAUGAAUAAAUUUAAAUAAUAUUAAUUUAAAAUUAAUAUCAACAAAAAUAAUAACGUAAAAUAUCAUUAUGUUAUGAUAUUAUUUAGAGAUUAUUUGAUUAAAUUAUUUACUUCGAUCUUUAUUUCACAUGUUAUAUAUUUAGAAAAUACUGAAAAAUAAAUGUUAUGCUGCCGAAAAUAUAAGGCUAUAAGUUUCGAUCUUUACAAAAAAUUGUGAUGCUUUUUAACAUUUAUACUAAAAAAUAAUGUUAAAUUUCUAAAAUUUAAGACUUAUAUAUUUAGUAGUUUUCUAGGUACUAUAAAUAUUAUUUCCUAAAUAUAUAAUUUAAGUUAAUCACAAAAAAUUAAUACAAUAUAGUGUAGCAUCAAACGUUGUAUAACAUUAUUAUAAUAUAGUGCUAAUACAAUACAGCAUAAUGCAAUACACAUCCAUUAAAAUAAUAUAACAUAGUGUGCUAAACUCACCAUUAAUUACUUCCUAAUGUUAAAAUUCAGUAGUAUUGUAAUUUUAAUAAAAAAUUGAGACCCUUUUAUCAUUUAGAUGUAAUAUACUUACAUUGUUCCCACAACUUGUUUUGUAUUCGCUUCGAGACUCUUUUGCAAAAAUCCUAACCAUACCAAAAUCUGAAAUUUUAGGUUUCAUAUCUUGACCUAACAAAAUAUUACUAGCUUUCAAAUCUCGAUGGAUAAUAGUCAGUCUUGAGUAUUCUUUGAGGUAUAAAAACCUUUGAGUCAUCCCUUCAAUGAUAUGAACACGUUUUUUCCAAUCCAAAAUAAACCUUCUGAUGGGAUCUACAACAGAUAUAUAGUUUUAGACAAUAAGUGAUAUGCAAAUGAAUUAUAUACACAAUUAAUAUUAACUUGAUUUCAGAACAAACCAAAAAGGUAGCAAUCCAAGCUUUGUUUGGCAUGUACUCGUAGACUAGCAUUCGUUCCUCACUGUCAAUGCAAAAACCUAAAACUCUAAUAAGAUUUACAUGUUGGAGUUUUGCAGUAAGUAUAAUCUCAUUCUUAAACUCCUCAAAUCCCUGUGUGGAUGCUUUCGAAAGUUUCUUCAUUGCUAUCACCUCUCCGCAGGGUAGUAUACCCUGCAACCAAAAAACAAAUGUUCAUAUAAAGCUUGCACUAAUUAAAUAAGUUGAGAAAUGUUUGCCAAACAAUAUGUUUCCCUCCAAAGUUGAGGGCACCAUUUUAAGUCCUUUAAGUCCCCAUAGACGCAUGAAUCUCCUCUCAGAAAAUAUGGAUAUGGGUAGACAUAUCUUCCUAAAUAUUAGUAGAAGUAGUUAUAUCUCUCUAGUGCGAGGUCAGAGGUCUCAUGUCUAAUAGGUAUAGAUUUUUAAAUUAUAUGUUUUGGGCCUCUGAAUUUUACUCUAAGUGUAUGAAUUCAAAGUUCCGACAGAAUCCAAAUUGUAACAUUUGUGGAUUUUGUGUGUGUGUGUGUGUUAACUUGUAAACAGGACCAUAUCCACCUUCCCCUAGCUUAUUUCUAACUGAAAAUCCCUCGGUGGCCGCCUCAAUAUCAGCCAAACUAUAUACUCUGAGGUUAGGAACAUUUCUGUUAAAGUCUCCAGCUUCUGCUUCAUCAUUUGCUCUCGUGUUUGACGCUUUAGCAGAGUCCUCUGUUCC